UGUAGCUUAGCCAAAAGCAUCUCGCUUACACCGAGAAGACGUCUGUGCGACCCGGAUCAUUUUGAGCCCAAAAUCAAGCCUUUAACUCUUAUUAUUCAACCCCAUUUCUAUUCCUUCCCCUAAAUAAAACAUUUUAUUACUUUAGUAGAGGUGAUCGAAAAAUUAAUUAGCGCUUCACACACAGUACCGCAAGGGAACGAUGAAAUAGCUUUGAAAUAGACUAAAAGCCAAAAACAGCAGAGAUUACCCCUCGUACCUUUUGCAUCAUGGUUUAGCCAGUCCUAACCAAGCAAGGCGAACCCAAGUUUGGUCCCCCGAAACUAGGCGAGCUACUUCGAAACAGCUUUUAGAGCCAACCCAUCUCUGUUGCAAAAGAGUGGGAUGAUUUCCAAGUAGAGGUGAAAAGCCUAUCGAGCCUAGAGAUAGCUGGUUAUUCAAGAAAUGAAUUUUAGUUCACCCUUAAGCCCCCCCCGGUAACCUAAACACGACUCCCCCGCUUAAGAGCUAUUCAAUUAAGGCACAGCUUAUUUGAAAAAGAAUCCAAUCUAUAAUUUAGGGUAAGCCA
rnacentral:rRNA from 1 species